CGGAGACUCAGGCGGCGGCCCGCCCGCUCCAACGCGGACAGAAUCGCGUCAGCGCUGCCCCACCCCCCUGCGUUGCAGACGCCGCCCGUGCCACCGCGCCUGCGCGCAAAGGGCCUGAGCCUGCUACGCCGACGUGCGACCUGCAAGACGUGGAGCCCAGCGAAGACGGUUGGCACAGGCGGACGGAAGGACAGGCGGACUCCCAUGAGUCCUUGCUGCAUCUCGUCCAAUGGGGCUCGAGCUUCAACACAAGGUCCACUGUUUCUACUUCUGUGUGUUUCUGGAUCCAGAGAAGAAGGUCCUACAAGAGUAAGAAAAUCCUCAAUUGGUACAGACUUGGAAGAACCUCUCUGUUCCAGCCAGCAAGUCUAGCGGAAAGGAAGGACAAGAUGGGAAGAAAGACAGGGCACACAACUCCAACACAGCAGUACAAGUGUAAGGGUAACUUUCAUGAAAAUCUAAAAGUGUUAAGGAGACAAAUUUCAACAAGUAGAUAAAUAUCAACAUCAGCCAAAACAGCUGUAAAUAAAAUACAAGAAAACUCCUUUCUGAGGUGGCCUUUUUGUCAAGACAGAACAACAGAACAGCAGCUCAAUGC
rnacentral:lncRNA from 1 species